rnacentral:rRNA from 1 species
CGAAUUCGCCCUUAGAGUUUGAUCCUGGCUCAGGACGAACGCUGGCGGCGUGCCUAAUACAUGCAAGUAGAACGCUGAAGGAGGAGCUUGCUUCUCUGGAUGAGUUGCGAACGGGUGAGUAACGCGUAGGUAACCUGCCUGGUAGCGGGGGAUAACUAUUGGAAACGAUAGCUAAUACCGCAUGGCAACAGUUAUUGCAUGAUAACUGUUUAAAAGGGGCAAUUGCUCCACUACCAGAUGGACCUGCGUUGUAUUAGCUAGUUGGUGAGGUAACGGCUCACCAAGGCGACGAUACAUAGCCGACCUGAGAGGGUGAUCGGCCACACUGGGACUGAGACACGGCCCAGACUCCUACGGGAGGCAGCAGAAGGG